AUGAGUGUUGAGGCUCGCGGCGGGUAUCGUUAUUUUCUGACCUUGACAGAUGAUUUGAGCAGAUAUGGGUAUAUCUACUUAAUGAAACAUAAGUCUGAAACAUUUGAAAAGUUCAAAGAAUUUCAGAGUGAAGUAGAAAAUCAUCGUAACAAGAAACUAAAGUUUCUACGAUCUGAUCGUGGAGGAGAAUAUUUGAGUUACGAGUUUGGUCUUCAUUUGAAACAAUGCGGAGUAGUUUCGCAACUCACGCCACCUGGAACACCAUAG
rnacentral:rRNA from 1 species